UGAAAAAUUGCACCCGACAAC
rnacentral:piRNA from 1 species